CGGGUCAUUCUGUGAUCUGUGUGAUUCUGUGACAUGACUUGGUUUUGCUUAGGAUUGAUUUUAAAAUAGCUGAGCAAAGCUGAGGUUGCACAGCGCUUAGUUUCAGAGCAGAUUAUCCCUUUGUUUUCUUUUACAUACAGCAAACCGCCCCUCAAUGAACCAGCAUCAUCCAAAUCACUAACAGAACCGGUCCCAGCUUACAGUGUUUAUGGGCUUCUGGAAUGGGGCAUGUUUGCAUGGGAGCCACUUGAGCAACCACCAUGAUCCUGCUCUGAUACAUGGGCUGUUUUGUGCAGUCUGCAGGAACCACUGCAGACCUCCUUGUAUCAAAAGAGGCUAUUGGGAGUACUUGCAGUUCUGAUUGUGUCACCUUCUAGGUUAUAAAUAAAUAAAUCAUUUGCCUUCCUUGAGUUCAAACCAUAAUCCAUUCCUACAAUGGCCAGGUCCCAUCACACAAAACAAGGCUUCUCUCUAAGUUUUGAAUAGACGUGGAUCUUUUUCUUCCUUUCCCCAUGCCAGUUUUCAAGUCUUGUCUGGAACUGAUGGCCCUUUUCACAAAAGUUUUUGCCGUAGACCUCAAUACAUAUAAAUGAAGCAAUGAUGGCACCACACAGAGAAGAUAAUCAAUGUCACUUUUCAGAUUAACAGUGAGAAAGAUACGUGUCUGCAAAGAGCAAGACUCAAAGGCUCUUUUUUCCCUCCCUGAGUGGGUGUCUGAUUAGAGCAGCUUAUCCCAUAUUAAGGCUGACACAGGACCAAAGACUUUGUGUGUAGCUCAGGGUUCCCAGGUUGUGCAAGCUGCCCAAGCAUGACAUCCCCUUUGAAAUCAUUAGAUGUUCUGCACCCAGCUGUGCUGGUUAUGUGACGGAAUCACAUAUGAGGUUUGGCACGUGUCAGGAAAAAUGCUCUCAUAGAGCUCUUAUAAAGCAGAAGUCUGUUUGCUGCACCGCUGUUGAAAGGUGCAGGCCAUGUGCUGUGAGAUGAAUGGAAGACAUUUGUAAUGGAAUACAUCUGUAAUCUUCACAAAGUACCUGACGAGGUCAGUGUGUGUGCAGAAGGCCGUGCUGCUCAGUCCAUUCACAUCUGCUUGAACAGAUAGAUCCCCUGUCAGUUAAUUUGGGUGAGCUCUGAGGGUGCAGGCUACCCACACAACUUGCAAUCCUGCAUGAAACUGAUUGUUUUUGACAUUCAUACUUCCUCUCUAGAUUAAGGUUUUGCAGCUCUGACCUACAUUCAUUGAGCCUGCAGCUACAGCCCUUAAUCAUCACAUAUUUGGUACUACACCUCAGCCGGUAGCUUUCAGCCCCACAGCUAAGCAGGGCAGAGCUGCCAGAGCUCAUGUACCUUGCUACAUGGAUAGUUUCAUCUUGGCUUCAAGCUAAGGAGUCAGACUGUGAUGUGGGGUUACCAAGGAGCCAGCAUGUGGGACUGUGCUGCAAGUACCAAAGAGGAAAGGAUGGCUGGGUAACCUCCUUCUCAGCCAUCUCCAGGGAUUUACACUGCGUGGUUUAUGAGAAAGUACUUCCUUUUUUUCUAUAUGCACUUCCCACCUACCAAUCUGCUGAAUAUCCCCUUGUUCUGCAAAGGAGGAAAACAAGAAGCCCCUGAUCUCUCUUCUCCACAUCAUUUCUCAUUGCCCACUGUCACCUUCAGGACCUCUCCUACUUUUCUGCUUUGCAGAGCAUGCAGUCUCGCUCCUUCAAAUCUCUCUUUGGUUGGGAAAGUUUCACAUUUGUUGUGUUUAAGAACUUCCCCAAGGCCUUGUGAUGAUACCAUCUGUGAAAUCCAUCGAGCAGUGAAUACACAGUAUUAUUCCUGGGUCUGCCUAAUGCCUGGUUGCUUGAAAUGUCUUAAAAUCUGCUCUUUUUCUGUCUUUCAUCCCACUCUUUAAACUUCCUAAUGUCUCGUCGAUGUUUCUGAUUGCCUGUUUAGCUCUGCAUUGCCACCUGGGUCACUUCAUGAAACCGAGGCGGUUAAUUUAGAGCCCUUAAGGUGCUUGAAAUGCUCCCAUUACGCCUCCAGCCUGGAUGACUUUACAUUUACUGACACUGAAUUUAAUUUCUGUUCAUCUAACUAGUUCAUGUCUCCAAAGAUAAUAGCAAAGAAUUCCUCGAGGGCACUUUACCAGGAGAAGUGUGGCUUCAUGUUCAUUACCAACCAACCUGUGUAAUGACGAAGAUGUCCUAAGGAAACGUCUAUGCAGACUUUGCUUGGAGUGCCAAGGCGUAUUUCUGCUGCUGGAAGAUGCUGUUGAGCCAAGUGAUAAGACGUCUCUGCACAUAACCUAAUGAGGUCAGCUACACAAAACAGUGCUUGGGGGAUCUGUGUGACAAACGAUAAAAGCACAGCUCCCUCUUCUGCCAUCAAACUCCUUUCUGGUAAUGAAAAGAGCAGAGCAGCCAGGGCUGCUUGCUCUAGGAGUGAUCCUGACAUGUGUUUCCCCAGAUAGUUCAGAGCCACUGCUGAGGAGAAUUUGUAUUGGUUCUGUUGCUGCAUCAUCUCACGUGUUUGCAUGUGCGUACAGGUGCUGUCUGAUUGGGCUCUGGAGCAAGAGUGGGAAUCUACCAAUUGUUUAAUAUGUUAUUUUAAGAGGCUGUGAGGUUUUUGUUUGUUUUGUUUUUUAAUGGGGCAAAAUACUUUUCCUUCCUCCUUUCUACCUUUAAGGAAGGGUAAGACAGACCAUUAAGGAGUCUUCUGCAUCUCUCACAUGAGAUGGAGAUGUGGUGACUUACAUAAAACAAGUUACGAGCCAAUUGUUAUGAAACUCCAAAGUUUAAAUCACUGUGAAAUAAGAAAUAGAGAAAGCCCAUUUCAGGCCAGGUAGCUCAUAUCCGAGCUGCUUCCUUCUGUCCAAGCAUCUCUCCAUGUUGAGGUUCAGCAGGAAAUGAAGGCUUGCUGCGAAUCCACUGUCUGCUCACAGACCUGAAAUCAUCAGCUGGAGUCACAGCUCACACAGCGAUCCUAGGAAAACAUUGUUACAGACAAAUGUGCUUCUCUUUUAUUCUAUGGAUUUAUGUGUGUUUGUUUUGAAUGUGACUCACUGAUCUGCUGUACGCUUUGGGAUAUCACUAUCUACUUCUCUCUGUGGAGUGGGGCUGAUGCCAGCCCACCUGUGCCACAAGGCCGUACAGACAGACACAAGGGAGGGUAUGAAACUAGGCGACUGUUUUCACAUCCAGGGCAACUGGCUUGAAUCCCGUGUUUCCAGCUGCUGAAUGCUUUCCACCAUGGGAUUCUUGUGGGUUUUUGUGAAGAGCUCUUGCACCUUCUGCCUCUCCACCACUCGGCAAGGAGCAGGGCUGGAUGCUGGACAGCCACUAACAGCCUUGCCAGGGAAACCUGCUCCUGUCUGGCCAAAGCUGUAAAGGGUUUGAAGUAUGGACUUGAACUCCUCAGGAAAACUUCUGCUACACCCAAAGCAAUAGCUGAACACAAGCAUCCCGUGCCCAGACCGGGCUUACUGUGGGAACGGCUGGAUGUAGCCAGGGAAAGAAGGCGGCUCAGAGAGCGGCUGCAGUGGGAGGCAAGGACAGCCAAGCUAAACAAUGUCCGUCUGCUUCCACAUCCUCCUGCUCCUCCUCAGGAACACGACGGGGAGCAGCUGCCCUCCCACGUGAGCUGGGCUCAAGGUGCCCUGUUCAGAUUCUCACUAUCCAAGGGCCAGUGACCCCUGCUAUGCCCAGCCUCUGCUGGCAUCAAGCCUUUGGGCUUCAGCUCUCCCCUGUGCUGCUCAAGUGCUCCUGGCUGGGUGCACUCUCACUUUCUUACUUGAACCCUGUGAAUUUGCAUACAGAAAGCCCCAUUAACCCUGAUCAAGUGACAUUCAUGUUGUGGUGUUAAGUGGCCAGAAGCAGAGAAGGUCAAGUUGUGAACUGAACACGUUUCCCUUCUAAAACUGAAACAAUUGGUGCUGUCACGGGAAUUUCUCAGGGGCAUGUUCAUAAUAAUUGCACAGCUUUUCUUGAUGGUUUUUCACCAAUACGUUACAAUUGAAUUUCUGCAAUGGCAGGAAGCUUGGUAAAAGUAAAAUGCCAUACCCUUUAAAAAUAUGUAUAUUUUUUUACAUAAGGUAUUGAGCCUUAUAUACAGAUGCAUUAAUUCACCGUUACUGUUUGAAAUGUAUUUGAUUUAAGCUACUAAUUAUAUUAGCUAUUAGAUAAUAAUUGUAAUAGAGCUGCAAGAGUCCUCAUUCCCUGCAUGGUCCGAGCUACCAACUCCUCAAUAAGGACUGGGUCGUUGCUAGCUAAUGACCCUCAAAUAGUUCCCGACUUAGUGAGGCACAAUCAGUGCUUACAUGGCUUAUUGCUUUAUAUGCUGGGCUACUUGACCCUCUACAGUUACUGCUCUAACUGGGUUAGGAGGUUGCAUUUCAGCAGACAGAGAAGUGAGAAACUGGGGAAACCCCAAGUAGAAAUAUAUUCAUGGCAAGAGCUGCUUUUGUGCAUGCACACACAUUUCAUAGGCCUCAGUCAGGUGGGAAAUUCAGAGGUCCCAGUGUGAAAGCUCAGAAGUAUCAGUAUGCAAAUGUGGGAGCUCUCAUACGUGGGCUCCCUGUUCCCAGCAUCAAAAUGACAGUGCCAUACCACAAAUAUGGCACAUUAUGGUGUGCAGCACUGAGCCAUUUCAGCCACUGAACCUGCGGGUUGUUUCAUUAGUGGGGUAUGGGGAUGGCUACGUGCAGGUACAUACACAUAGAGAUAGCCAAGGAGGGAAACAAAACAGAGGAUGUAGAAAAAGAGAUUCAGCAGCAGCAGCAAGGAGGAGAUGGGCUGGUCUUCUUUUUUUAAGGCCUUGAGAAGUUAAUUUUCACUUCAUACCCAUCAGGUGUGGGGCUUCUGAGCAGCAACCCAGCAGCUUGCAGGCUCCAGCUGCAGGAUAAAGGUCUUGUGGAUGCUUUGGGGUAUUCUACCACAUGCUGGGGACUUGUGUGGAUGAGCACGUGGAGGUGACUGUGCCAGCAGGCUGAUGGCUGAGCAUUUGGGUCCAGAAACAGCAAUGGAAAGUGAGAGGAGAGAGAGAGCAGGAGGUACUUGGCCAAGGAGGGCGAGGCAGGAAGGCCCAGGCAGGCUGAGGGAAGAGGAGGAGGCUUUUGGGUACGUGAAGGUGUGGUGAGAAACUUGCAUCGUGUUUCAGAAAGCAAAACGUACUGUCCACAAACCUGACUGAGAACAAAUUCUGGAGAUCAUUUUAAAAAUCAUAUAGAGCAAUUGAGAGCAAAGCUGUACUUAAUUUGGUUAUAAUCCUUUGCAUUGAGAUGUAUUUCAACUGAACUUAAGACUUCUGAGUGCCAUUCAGAGAAGAAACCUGAUAACUUUUGGCAGAGGGAAGGACUGCCUUGUUAGAAUUAAAUUCUCUCAGCUGGCAUGUUUAUCACUUAGAGAUCAAUGCAAACCAGAGGAUAAAUAAAAGCAGAUUUUGAAAGUGAACAGGCAGAUGUUCAGGCACCAAAAGUCUGUUCUGGGCUGGGGAGGAGAGCGUUCCUUUUGUUUUUCUGCCUUGAAGAAAAUGGAAUUGAAAUGUAUUUAAUUGACAGGUUGGUAUCUUGUUUGCAGACCUGGUAAAUCAGUGGACAGCAUAGCAGAGGUCUUGCAUCUGCUGCCCCUCAAGACCUAUGAAUUUGCCUCGCUAAAUGCAGGCACCAAAACUGAGUUUAUCUUCCAAGGUGGUGUUCUUUAACAGGAAGCACGUGGUCCAGUUCUUAACAGGACUUGGAUGGGGCUGAACAGCACAGUGAUGGUUUUAUAAAAGAAACUGUAUUUUCCCAUGGAGACUUGGUAUUUCAAAGGAAAAGAGAGCCAGGAGUGUGUUUGUUUCUCAUGACAGACUGACAAACUCUCUGUCUUCCCUGAUCUUGGUUUGGAACUGCUUCUUCCUUCCCUCUGCCAUCUCCUGCUCUCAUGCUCAGCCACACCAGCCCCACCCCACCAAAAUAGUCAAGCUGGCAUCCCCAUAAGUGCUGCUGUCUCCGCUUUCUGGAAAAGCCCAUGAAAUGAACAUGACCAGGUUUUAUCCAAAUGCUUCUUUUCUUACUGAAGAAGGUCGGCGUGAGGCUGUUCUCCUACCUUGUCUCACUGGCUACCUCAAAGCACCUUGUGUUGUUAUGAUGCUGAUAAAAGGAAAUGAGGAGUGCUAAGCCUCCAGGACGCUGAGAUCUGGACAUCUGGCGCUGAUGAAUAUCUCUUCAUUGCCUCUGUGCCUUUCCCCAUUGACUGACCACUGUGUCUGGCCUUACACUGUGAGCUGCAUGCAAGCCGUCCUUUUAUCCUGUUUGUCCUGAGUAUAAUGGAACCUGCAUCCUCGCUUGAGAUCUCAAAGGCUUUCUGUAAUUAAACACUUAAGGUGUUUUCCAGAGAUGGGGUUUGGAUUUUGGGUGGUCCUGUGUGGAGCUGGGAGCUGGACUUGGUGAUCCUUGUGGGUCCCUUCCAACUGAGGAUAUUCUGUGAUUCUAUAGGCCCUGAUCAAUGCCUUGGUCACUGCACAAAUACAGAGGAAGGAUCAGUCACAGACAGGUGAGUUUAUCUCCAAAACACAUGGUUCAGGUGUAGGGUGGAACGAAAGGAAGCUCUUGAAUGGAGACCUCUGGCAAAUGCAUUAGUCCAUACCAGUCUUGAGCCAGCCAGCUCUGGAAGCAGCAUCACUGCCCAUCUUGGAAGCAGUGCCGGCCUCAUCCAUUGUUGUCCUUUCGGCAGCCUGGCUUCUAUAGAUGAUGUCUUCUCUUGCAGCAGGUAGAUCUUAGCACCUCUGGGGAGGGGUUACCGAGCAAACUUGUUUGGCCAACAUUGCAGGAGCAGAAAGGUUAUAGUGACAGGAGGCAAUGGAGGCCCCUGGGACUUGCAAAAACUGGUCACUGCUGUGUGUAGAUGUGCACUGAAUUGCACCCUGGGGGAUCAGCCUUCUUCAAACACAGGUCUGGGCACUCCUCAGUACCAAAAUGGGCCUCUUACAGUCAACUGGCAUGUCUGUUCUCUAGCCCACUUCAGGGCUAAUCUUAAGUUCCACUGAGACUGAAACUGGAGGGACCAAGAUAUCUGGCAUGAGUCACAGCAAGGAAACAUCAUCUGGGCUAAGCGAAGAUUUAUUAAAGGAAUGCCUUUCAAAGACCAUCAAAAGGCGUCACAUUGGUAUGUAAUGGUAAGUAUUUAAGGAGUAAGAGAAGCUACGUACCAAAUGAAAUAAAGGGGAGAAAAAGGGAUAGUCAGUAAACCUGGGAUUAGCUUAAUUGAGAGGAAGAUGCUAAGAGUGCUUAAGACCAUUAGUUAUUAAAGCAUUUGACCAAUCCUUCUUUAGCCAGGCUUUCCACACUGGGCGGGGGGAACCAACCAAAAAACCCAUUGUUCUUCUUUGAAAUACUGAUUGCUCAUUCAAUAUAUUCUAGAGAAAGCAAGGAUGACUAGCCUAUUAUUUUCAAGAGUUAGUAGAUGAUUGUGUGGAUGAUAAUUAUAUCCUGUUAGAAACAUCCCUUGAGGUAGGGAUGGAAUAGAGGCAGGGUGAAAUGGCAUAAAUUUAUGGCCCUUCACUUGUCUUCAAUUAUUAAGGAUAGUCUGUAACUGAGGAUAAAGGAAAUGAGUGAGGCUUUGGGCUUUGACCACUUGAAAUGUCUCUUUCUGCUAAGCAAAGUACAAGAUGGACUUGAUGAUCCUCGUGGGUCUCUUCCAACUUGGGAUAUUCUAUGAUGAGUGAUUCUAUAGUUCUGUGUUGGAGCACCUUUGCUUAACUGGAAUGAGAAUGUGUCUUUAUAAGAAAAAAAAGAAACAGCUGGCCUCAAAAUUGGACAACACUACCACAAAACCAAACCACCCAACCAGGAAAGGAAAAGUGGAAGUUAGUGGCACUCUAGGGGCUAAGGCUGAGUACUGUCUGAGCUGAGGAUGGUACUGGUGAUGCACUCAGCAUUUUUUUAUACAACAAUUUCCCACUUCAGGUUUGCUUGACUUUCUUGAUUUUGGUAAUGAUUUUUGUGCUGCUUUCCCUCAAAUAUCCCAGAUUGUAAGCCAUCCCACUCAUGUGCCGUGAAGUCCUAAUAAAUAUAUAUCAGACUUAAAAAGCUUACACAAGCGUCGUUAUUUCAGUGCAACCUACUCAUCCUUCAGAAUUAGAAAAUGAGAAGCAUCUCCAGCAUGAAACAUCUACUCAUCAAGAGAUUUCCAAUUCUUUGUUCUGUUUUUCAAGAGGAUUGCCAAAUGGAGAAGUUAGUAGCGUGGAUUUACACCUGAGCUGAAUACUGGAUGUCCCCAGAGAGCAAGUGUGAAAGAAUUCAAGGACUGAUCAUUUGAACUACGAACUUCUCAACAUAAACACGUACAUUGCAGGAGACAGUGUGAAAGUGUGCAGAGCUGGAGUCAAGUGAGCAAUAACAACUGACUACCCCAUGCCUCAAGUAAUACUGUGAAAUGGUGGCAGCUCUCAGCCUGGAGGAAGAUCUCUCAUCUCAUUGUACAGCUUGGCUUGCUGGCUAAAACCUGCAAAGUGCCAGUGUUGAGAAAUCAGCUCUGGCGGUUGCAGGAGCCGUUCUCUUCUUGAGGCCUCCCAUGGGACGUAAGCCACACGUGGCAGGAGAGGGGUUUCCCUGGCUGUAGCUAAGAUGCUCAGGCUGUGUAGAAUGCCAUGCUCUGAGCACUGACAGCGACUGUUUUGCACAGUGAUGGUGAGAGCUAUGUGUCUAAUUUGGGCAGCAGCAGAUGGGACUCCUAAGACAGCAAGAGACUGGCACUACCAGCAGAGGGAAGGGAUAAUGUGUUCCUUCUGCAGCAGAAAUCUCACAAAUGACUCAUGACUCUUCUGCAGCUCAUGCUGGCAUCAAUUGGUCUUUCUAACCGUGACUACACAUUUUAAAGGUCAAGAUAUAAUGCUUCUUUUCCAAGAACCUUUGAGUUCAUACUGAUGAGGGUUUUGUUCUGAAGGACACAGAAG